rnacentral:rRNA from 1 species
UACGAAGGGGGCUAGCGUUGUUCGGAAUUACUGGGCGUAAAGCGUGCGUAGACGGCUAUCUAAGUCGGGUGUGAAAGCCCCGGGCUCAACCUGGGAAUUGCAUUCGAGACUGAAUAGCUAGGGUACGGUAGAGGGAAGUGGAAUUUCCGGUGUAGCGGUGAAAUGCGUAGAUAUCGGAAGGAACAUCAGUGGCGAAAGCGACUUCCUGGACCAGUACCGACGUCAGGCACGAAAGCGUGGGGAGCAAACAGGA